AUCNGGCUUACCAUGCAGUCGAGGGGCAGCAUUUUAGUUUGCUUGCAAACUNAAGAUGGCGACCGGCGCACGGGUGAGUAACACGUAUCCAACCUGCCGAUAACUCGGGGAUAGCCUUUCGAAAGAAAGAUUAAUAUCCGAUGGUAUAUUAAAACCGCAUGGUUUUACUAUUAAAGAAUUUCGGUUAUCGAUGGGGAUGCGUUCCAUUAGUUUGUUGGCGGGGUAACGGCCCACCAAGACUACGAUGGAUAGGGGUUCUGAGAGGAAGGUCCCCCACAUUGGAACUGAGACACGGUCCAAACUCCUACGGGAGGCAGCAGUGAGGAAUAUUGGUCAAUGGACGAGAGUCUGAACCAGCCAAGUAGCGUGAAGGAUGACUGCCCUAUGGGUUGUAAACUUCUUUUAUAUGGGAAUAAAGUNUUCCACGUGUGGNAUUUUGUAUGUACCAUAUGAAUAAGGAUCGGCUAACUCCGUGCCAGCAGCCGCGGUAAUACGGAGGAUCCGAGCGUUAUCCGGAUUUAUUGGGUUUAAAGGGAGCGUAGGUGGAUUGUUAAGUCAGUUGUGAAAGUUUGCGGCUCAACCGUAAAAUUGCAGUUGAUACUGGCAGUCUUGAGUACAGUAGAGGUGGGCGGAAUUUCGUGGUGUAGCGGUGAAAUGCUUAGAUAUCACGAAGAACUCCGAUUGCGAAGGCAGCUCACUAGACUGCAACUGACACUGAUGCUCGAAAGUGUGGGUAUCAAACAGGAUUAGAUACCCUGGUAGUCCACACAGUAAACGAUGAAUACUCGCUGUUUGCGAUAUACAGUAAGCGGCCAAGCGAAAGCAUUAAGUAUUCCACCUGGGGAGUACGCCGGCAACGGUGAAACUCAAAGGAAUUGACGGGGGCCCGCACAAGCGGAGGAACAUGUGGUUUAAUUCGAUGAUACGCGAGGAACCUUACCCGGGCUUAAAUUGCAUUUGAAUAAUCUGGAAACAGGUUAGCCGCAAGGCAAAUGUGAAGGUGCUGCAUGGUUGUCGUCAGCUCGUGCCGUGAGGUGUCGGCUUAAGUGCCAUAACGAGCGCAACCCUUAUCUUUAGUUACUAACAGGUCAUGCUGAGGACUCUAGAGAGACUGCCGUCGUAAGAUGUGAGGAAGGUGGGGAUGACGUCAAAUCAGCACGGCCCUUACGUCCGGGGCUACACACGUGUUACAAUGGGGGGUACAGAAGGCAGCUACCUGGCGACAGGAUGCUAAUCCCAAAAACCUCUCUCAGUUCGGAUCGAAGUCUGCAACCCGACUUCGUGAAGCUGGAUUCGCUAGUAAUCGCGCAUCAGCCAUGGCGCGGUGAAUACGUUCCCGGGCCUUGUACACACCGCCCGUCAAGCCAUGAAAGCCGGGGGUACCUGAAGUACGUAACCGCAAGGAGCUCCUAGGNA
rnacentral:rRNA from 1 species